rnacentral:rRNA from 1 species
GCAGGCUUAACACAUGCAACGUUUAACGCUCCGCAAGGAGAGUGGCAGACGGGUGAGUAACACGUGGGAAUCUACCCUUUACUACGGAAUAACGCAUGGAAACGUGUGCUAAUACCGUAUGUGUCCUUCGGGAGAAAGAUUUAUCGGUAAAGGAUGAGCCCGCGUUGGAUUAGCUAGUUGGUGGGGUAAAGGCCUACCAAGGCGACGAUCCAUAGCUGGUCUGAGAGGAUGAUCAGCCACAUUGGGACUGAGACACGGCCCAAACUCCUACGGGAGGCAGCAGUGGGGAAUAUUGGACAAUGGGCGCAAGCCUGAUCCAGCCAUGCCGCGUGAGUGAUGAAGGCCCUAGGGUUGUAAAGCUCUUUCACCGGAGAAGGUAAUGACGGUAUCCGGAGAAGAAGCCCCGGCUAACUUCGUGCCAGCAGCCGCGGUAAUACGAAGGGGGCUAGCGUUGUUCGGAUUUACUGGGCGUAAAGCGCACGUAGGCGGAUCGAUCAGUCAGGGGUGAAAUCCCAGAGCUCAACUCUGGAACUGCCUUUGAUACUGUCGAUCUGGAGUAUGGAAGAGGUGAGUGGAAUUCCGAGUGUAGAGGUGAAAUUCGUAGAUAUUCGGAGGAACACCAGUGGCGAAGGCGGCUCACUGGUUCCAUUACUGACGCUGAGGUGCGAAAGCGUUGGGGAGCAAACAGGAUUAGAUACCCUGGGUAGUCCACGCCGUAAAACGAUGAAUGUUAACCCGUUCGGGCAAGUAUACUGUUUCGGUGGGCGCAGCYUAACCGCAUUUAAACAUUCCCUCCUGGGGGGAGUUACGGUCCGCCAGAAUUUAAA